UACGGGGGGGGCAAGCGUUGUUCGGAAUUACUGGGCGUAAAGGGCUCGUAGGCGGCCAACUAAGUCAGACGUGAAAUCCCUCGGCUUAACCGGGGAACUGCGUCUGAUACUGGAUGGCUUGAGGUUGGGAGAGGGAUGCGGAAUUCCAGGUGUAGCGGUGAAAUGCGUAGAUAUCAGGAGGAACACCGAUGGCGAAGGCAGGUCUCUGGGCUGACACUGACGCUCAUGCACGAAAGCGUGGGGAGCAAACAGG
rnacentral:rRNA from 1 species